GAUGAACGCUGGCGGCGUGCCUAAUACAUGCAAGUCGAGCGAACAGACGAGGAGCUUGCUCCUCUGACGUUAGCGGCGGAAGGGUGAGUAACACGUGGAUAACCUACCUAUAAGACUGGGAUAACUUCGGGAAACCGGAGCUAAUACCGGAUAAGAUAUUGAACCGCAUGGUUCAUUAGUGACAGACGGUUUUGCUGUCACUUAUAGAUGGAUCCGCGCCGCAUUAGCGCGUUGGUAAGGUAACGGCUUACCAAGGCAACGAUGCAUAGCCGACCUGGGAGGGUGAUCGGCCACACUGGAACUGAGACACGGUACAGACUCCUACGGGAGGCAGCAGUAGGGAAUCUUCCGCAAUGGGCGAAAGCUUGACGGAGCAACGCCGCGUGAGUGAUGAAGGUCUUCGGAUCGUAAAACUCUGUUAUUAGGGAAGAACAAAUGUGUAAGUAACUAUGCACGUCUUGACGGUACCUAAUCAGAAAGCCACGGCUAACUACGUG
rnacentral:rRNA from 1 species